CGUGGACAACUACCUCCGGACGGGUAUAAACCCGGGAAACUGGGUAUAAUCCCCGAUAGAUCUCGGUCGCUGGAAUGCCCCGAGAUCGAAAGCUCCGGCGCCAGAGGAUGGGUCUGCGGCCUAUCAGGUAGUAGUGGGUGUAGCGUACCUACUAGCCUACGACGGGUACGGGUUGUGAGAGCAAGAGCCCGGAGAUGGAUUCUGAGACACGAAUCCAGGCCCUACGGGGUGCAGCAGGCGCGAAAACUUUACAAUGCCGGCAACGGCGAUAAGGGGACCUCGAGUGCCAGGUUACAAAUCUGGCUGUCGUGAUGCCUAAAAAGCAUUGCAUAGCAAGGGCCGGGCAAGACCGGUGCCAGCCGCCGCGGUAACACCGGCGGCUCGAGUGGUAACCGUUAUUA
rnacentral:rRNA from 1 species